UGGGGAAUAUUGCACAAUGGGCGAAAGCCUGAUGCAGCGACGCCGCGUGCGGGAUGAAGGCCUUCGGGUUGUAAACCGCUUUUGAUUGGGAGCAAGCGAGAGUGAGUGUACCUUUCGAAUAAGCACCGGCUAACUACGUGCCAGCAGCCGCGGUAAUACGUAGGGUGCAAGCGUUAUCCGGAAUUAUUGGGCGUAAAGAGCUCGUAGGCGGUUUGUCGCGUCUGGUGUGAAAGUCCAUCGCUUAACGGUGGAUCUGCGCCGGGUACGGGCAGGCUAGAGUGCGACAGGGGAGACUGGAAUUCCCCGGUGUAACGGUGGAAUGUGUAGAUAUCGGGAAGAACACCAAUGGCGAAGGCAGGUCUCUGGGUCGUCACUGACGCUGAGGAGCGAAAGCGUGGGGAGCGAACAGGAUUAGAUACCCUGGUAGUCCACGCCGUAAACGGUGGAUGCUGGAUGUGGGGCCCCAUUCCACGGGUUCCGUGUCGGAGCUAACGCGUUAAGCAUCCCGCCUGGGGGAGUACGGCCGCAAGGCUAAAA
rnacentral:rRNA from 1 species